AGAACGUGGAAGAGCUGCCGUCUUGUAAUCGGCAGGUUGUAGGUUCAAAUCCUACUGGCG
rnacentral:tRNA from 1 species